AUUGAACGCUGGCGGCAGGCCUAACACAUGCAAGUCGAGCGGAUGAAGGGAGCUUGCUCCUGGAUUCAGCGGCGGACGGGUGAGUAAUGCCUAGGAAUCUGCCUGGUCGUGGGGGAUAACGUCCGGAAACGGGCGCUAAUACCGCAUACGUCCUGAGGGAGAAAGGGGGGGAUCUUCGGACCUCACGCUAUCUGAUGAGCCUAGGUCGGAUUAGCUAGUUGGUGGGGUAAAGGCCUACCAAGGCGACGAUCCGUAACUGGUCUGAGAGGAUGAUCAGUCACACUGGAACUGAGACACGGUCCAGACUCCUACGGGAGGCAGCAGUGGGGAAUAUUGGACAAUGGGCGAAAGCCUGAUCCAGCCAUGCCGCGUGUGUGAAGAAGGUCUUCGGAUUGUAAAGCACUUUAAGUUGGGAGGAAGGGCAGUAAGUUAAUACCUUGCUGUUUUGACGUUACCAACAGAAUAAGCACCGGCUAACUUCGUG
rnacentral:rRNA from 1 species